UUAAGAGAAAUGUGAAUUUGUGAAACAUGUUUUCUUUUGUUUUUCUUUUAUUCAUAUGAAGAUGCUGUUGAUGUUGAUGUUGCUGUUGACCGGGGAAGGUCAAGAAAGAGGGCCAACCCAGACGCUUGGAAGGGUAACAUUCAGAAAAGGAGAAGAAUGAGGGGCCAAUCAUAUCUUGGACGGAAAAAAAAAGGAUUCAUCAACAUAGAAGAAAGAAAAAUGGAGGGGCGGUGCCUGGCUGAGGCCUGCCGGAAAUCCAGCAAACUACACUGCACCGAAAUCAAUGAAGGGAAGAGGGAAAAAAUAUUCAAGUCUUUUUGGGGAAAUUGGACUGGAAAGAAAGGAAAAUCUACGUGAAGUCACUGGUGGAGGUGAGUGAUGUCAAGCGGCGCCGGACAGAAGCGGUUCAGUCUCGGAGGUCAGCAUCUCUCUGUUGUUUUUUAUGUGUUGAUGGUAAAAGGCUCAGAGUUUGUCAGCGGAUGUUCCUGUCGACCCUUGGCAUCAAGCAGUGGAGUGUUCUAAAAUGGGUUGGAAGAAGAGAUGAAAGUCCUGAGAAGACGGCAAGAGUGAGGGUGAGGACAGAGGAGCGAGACUUCCUAAAGUCCUUUCUUCUUGAACUGCCGAAAGUACCAUCGCACUACUGUAGGUCCUCCUCUUCCAAGAUGUACCUGGAGCCUUUAUUCAAAUCAAUCAAUCAUCUCCACUCACAAUAUAAGCAGACAUGUGCAGCCAACGGCAUCCAGGCUCUGUCAAGACAAGUGUUCAGUAACACCUUUAAAGAAUUAAAUCUGUCAUUGUUCCAUCCAAAAAAAGAUCAGUGUGACACUUACUGUGCCUUCAAAGCCGGGAACAUCGAGGCUGCUGUGUGGGAGGAACACUGCGUUAAGAAGGACGAGGCACGAGCAGAAAAGGAUAGGGACAAGCAACUUGCAAAUAACACCACCUCGGUUGCAUGCAUGGAUCUGCAGGGCCUUCUCCUCUGCCCAAAGCUUCAAGCGUUUUGCCCUCUACUUCAAAAUGAAGCUUGGUGUCCAUAAUUUUACCAUCUACAAUAUGGCAUCACAUGAAGCGACAAAUUACCUUUGGCAUGAGGGUGAGGGGGGGGUCUCUGCCAAUGAGUUUGCCUCCUGCAUUGUGGACUAUCUUGAAACACACCUCACUCACACUGAAUUCAUUCUUUGGAGUGAUGGGUGUGGUUAUCAAAAUCGAAACCUGGUCCUGAGCAAUGCCCUCUUAAAGUUUGCCACUGAAAGAAAAAAGCAAGUGACGCAGAAGUACCUUCAAAGAGGCCACACACAGAUGGAAUGUGACUCUGUGCACAGUGUGAUCGAAAGAAAGUUGAGGAACCGAGAUGUACACGUUCCAGCUGAGUAUGCUGCAGUCAUUCGGGGAGCUCGUUCAACUCCAAAACCAUACGAGCUGAAGUAUGUUGAUUACAGCUUUUUCCAAGACUUCAGCAAAGUGAAAAUCUGCAAGUCAAUUCGACCUGGUAGCAAAGCAGGCGAUCCUACGGUGCAUGACCUCCGAGCAGUCAGAUACAAUGUGGACGGCAGUAUGGAGUUCAAAUUACUCCACUCCGACAACUGGCAACCCUUCACAUCCCCAUCCCUGAGGAAGGCGUGUGUCAGCGUGGCCCCACUCUAUACAUCCCCCCAGAAAAUUAAAGCACUGAAGUUCAAGCACCUUCAAGAACUGAAACAUGUCUUACCGAAGGACUUUCAUCCAUUUUAUGAUGCACUUGACCAUGAGUGAUGGUCAGCUCAAAUAGCACAAACAAUAACAUACACACCACUAUUAAACAUUAUUUAUUUAUUUAUUAAUAAAAGCCAGUGUGGUUUUUCUGACUACCUAUAUACAUGUCUUAUUGAUUAAUGUAUUAAUGAAAUGUUAUAUUUAUUGAGUAUUGACAAGUAAUUGUUUAUGUGCAUGUUUGAAAACGACUUGGUUUUAUCUGUUGAACUCUUGGAAUUCCUAUCUGCCAAUCUGUCAGGAAAGACAUGAUUAAAAUCUUGCAUUUAGGCAAGUUGCUAUUUUAUAAUUCCACCUGUAGUAGCAGUAGUGAGUCUAAUUAGCCGUAACUGCUUAAACAGGAACGGGCUAGUUGGAGUUUAGUGAAAUGGCAGCUUCAUUUUUCCUUUUCUUUUCUGCAAUACAGUGCCAAAUAAAUAUUCUUUUGAUGAUAGCCUGGUGAGACAAUAGCUUUUCUUUACAGUAGGCCUAACUUUAUCUCAAGAAAAAGUUUUCCCCUUGUCGCCUGAGACGUAGGUCAAGGAGUGGAGGAGUGACACAAUUACGGUAGGUCUAACGUUACAACCUCUGUAUAGCUUGUUAGUGUACUGAUUCAUUAUCGCUUCAUAGUUAGCAGGAGACAUAAAUAUGAAGGGACAAUGAAUCAGUACACUGAUUUUCAUACUGACAAGAUUAAUAGGCUAUGCUCAGUUUAUUAAAUAGCCUUAGGUUGGACGUAGGCUAUUUAAUAAAUUUAGCGUAGCCUAUUCAUCUGUCAGUAUGAAACGCGACUUGCCCAUUCAUGAUCGGAAGAACGCGUAUCGACCACCGUUACUGUAAAAUAUGCACGUAUGUCCAUUUAAACUCGAUUUUGGUAAAAUGUGAACUAUACCAUCACACUGGCAAUAUUACGACUACAUUUAAAGACGACGUACCAAGUAUGACAACGCUACGUUCAACUGCUUUGAAAUUAGGGUGUUUUUUUCAUUUCCUGAAAAGUAACCGUUUUGGAUAUACGCGAGUUUCAUCGGACAGCGACGAUAUACAGCUUUUAACAGCUUUUCACAUGGCAUAGAAACACACUAACUCAUAACUAAUGCUGUUGCCUUAAGUAAAUGACCUAAAUGGUUCAUGGCAUGCUUUGGAGAAAAUGUGCUCAUUAUGUUUGUAUUCUCCAUAGGAUUCCAGAAGUUUGGCAUCUCCCUCAGCCAAUUGCCUAAUGCAAAGCUCUUUGAUGACUCCAAAACUGAGGUUGACCAUGAGGUGUUUGAAGAAGUGAUCGGUGCAAAUACUGGUGUUUAUGAGCUAUCCAUUGAUGGUGUCUCUGAAGGUUUUGUUUCUGAGGCACCAGCUGUUGGCCAGUCGACACCAGCUGUCGACACCAGCUGUAAGUCAAGAGGAC